rnacentral:rRNA from 1 species
CCUACGGGUGGCAGCAGUGAGGAAUCUUGGUCAAUGGACGAGAGUCUGAACCAGCCAAGUAGCGUGAAGGAUGACUGCCCUCUGGGUUGUAAACUUCUUUUAUAUGGGAAUAAAACGUUCCAAGUGUGGGAUUUUGUUUGUACCAUAUGAAUACGGAUCGGCUAACUUCGUGCCAGCAGCCGCGGUAAUACGGAGGAUCCGAGCGUUAUCCGGAUUUAUUGGGUUUAAAGGGAGCGUAGGUGGAUUGUUAAGUCAGUUGUGAAAGUUUGCGGCUCAACCGUAAAAUUGCAGUGGAAACUGGCAGACUUGAGUGCAGUAGAGGAGGGCGGAAUUCGAGGUGUAGCGGUGAAAUGCUUAGAUAUCUCGAAGAACUCC